rnacentral:lncRNA from 13 species
UGGUUCCCUAGCUUGUGGACAGCAGAGCGUAGAACUUCUUAGCCUCCAUAAUCACAGGGAUGUGUUUGCUUGCCCUUCCACCAUGAUUGCAAGUUAUCUGAGGCUUCCCCAGCCCUGUGGAACUGUGAGUCAAUUAAACUUCUUUCCUUUAUAAAUUACCCAGUCUUGGGUAUUUCUUCAUAGUAGUAUAAGAAUGAACUAAAACACUACUGAACUGUACA